rnacentral:tRNA from 1 species
GCCUGGGUGGCUUAGUUGGUUAAGCAUCUGACUGCAGCUCAGGUCAUGGCCUCAGGGUUCGUGGGUUCAAGCCCCACGUUGGGUC